UUGACAAACACAUCAAUCUUGACAAAGCAUAGUUUUUACCAUCUCAAUAAUCACCCAGAACACACAAGUCACAAAAAGAUGACACUAUUUGCCGGUAUGAGAAACUUCAACUAGAUGAUCCAGAACACACAAGUCUGUAUCCACAUGCACAAAAUGCCAGCUCCAAAAUAACAAAAUCACCAAAUGGUCUACAACACAUAAGAUCCAUGAUUACAAGUUGGUUGGUCCGUAAACGCUGCAAAGUCAUCACGUCCAUGUGCACCAGUUGGCUAAGUACCUAGAAUUCUUGACAAAAUUUGUCAAGAAAGUGUAAUCAGCUCAAGUUGUUCAAAGCUCAUUUGUGGAUUAACACAGUCAGUCAAUAAAUCCUCAUGAUAUCAACGGCUCACAUGGUACUAUAUAGAACUAUGUUCAUGUGCUUGCAGUUUUAUCAACAAUGAAGGUAUUGACCAUCUGAAACAGAGAUCAUACAACCCAGUAGCUUAUUUUAUAGUCUAUUACAUAAGCAUUCACUGAAGAAAAGACAAACUCCCUCGCAACCUCUCUAGAUUUUUCAUGAUUAAGAGCUACAUAACCUCCCACGGAAAAGAGGAAGCGUCCAGUACGGAAAAACAAAAGAAGAGUCCGGCACCUAACCCCCCACGCACAAGAUAAGCGCCCUAGCAUGUGAAAGAAAAAAAACAGCCUGGACUCCUAUUUGAUGUGUCCUGUGGAUUUAAGAAAAAUACUAGCUCUACCAAAUAGAUAGUCCGAACAUUAGCGUUCUAUGAUAAUACAGUCGGUAUUGCUUAGUGCAUCAUGUUUAACUCGGACAUGGGUUUCACAAAAAGAAUAGCUCUACCAAGUAGAUUUGCACUUAUACAAAUCAAACUUAUAGUGACGACAAUGAUAUUAGGAGAUACUUUUUUUAUCUAAUGAAGUAUCUCUCUUCGCAUUCUUUUUAAAAAUAAUGCAUGCCUACAAUACAUUUGUUUUCAACAUAGUGCAGACACACACGCUCAUACAUACGCACAUACACGUAUCCAUAUAAACGCACGCACGCGCACCCUACCCCUAACCACCCAAUCACAUGUUGGUUCGCACCUACAAUAGAAUUUUAACUAUAAUAAAUCAUGCAUGGACGACUAAGUACCAAAAUAUGUGCGCUUAGUGUCAACAAUUUAUGUUCUAUCAUCAUGUUAUGUACAACAAUACCAUGUAGACUUAUGUUGCAUUGCCAUGCCAGGUAACCAAAGAGGUGCAGCCGUGCCAACAAAGACCUGGAUACCAGCAAAAGCAUCUAGACUUAUGACACCAGAAUAUUUUUCCUAAAAAACAGCAGGAUCAUAUUUCAUAGAAAUACAAACGCAUACCAAGGGAUCACUUUGAACUCUAGGAAAAAAUUCAACAGACCCAUGCAUGGACAUGUAUAUAAAUUGUCUAACAGUCAAAUACCUAUAAAAGGGAGACGCUCAUGUCCCAAUGAAUGAAAAAAAUAGAAGGGAGACGCUCAUGGACAAACGCAUACUACUAAUCAGCAACGCAUCUCUCGCUGCAAUCGUUGGCCUAUUUACAUUCACGUUGCAACCAACUAGCUUGGCCAAAUGGAUGCGUAAACUGGAUUGGUUGGCUUUGGGAAGACCCCUAUUGGUUCAGGCCCCUAUUGCUUCUGUUCUAAUACAUAGUCGCUUUGGGAAGACAUCAGUAUGAAUAAAGCCGAUAAAUAUAGUAUGCAUGCAGAUAGAUCCUACAUACAGAGAAACAAAUCAUGUCAUCUUGUAACUUCUAAACACACUAAAAGGCUAAAGGUAUACCUUAGAGAUAACUGACCAUGAUACCUACACUUUGUUCAAUGCCCUUCUCGGAUUGGUCAUCCAUCCAGUUUAUUCUCUCAACCAU
rnacentral:lncRNA from 1 species